UCAACUAUUUCUCAACAGUUCUGCACAAUUUGAAGGCAUUGCAAGUGAUCUUCGAAGGCAAAAAUUGGCUUGCCAAAAAUUUUAAUAUAUGUCUGCCAAAUUGUGUGUGUGUGCUUGACUAGGCGGCGGACCAAGAUAUUAGUGUGGGCGGACCUGAUAAGUGGGCAUGUUCAACACUUACUCAACAGUUCUGCACAAUUUGAAGGCAUUGCAAGUGAUCUUUGAAGGCAAAAAUUGGCUUGCCAAAAAUUUUAAUAUAUGUCUGCCAAAUUGUGUGUGUGUGCUUGACUAGGCGGCGGACCAAGAUAUUAGUGUGGGCGGACCUGAUAAGUGGGCGUGGCUAGGCAGGAGGGCUUCACAAAGAUUGCCUAGCUAAUCUAAUCAAUUGCUACUCAACAGUUCAUCUAUUACUCAACUAUUUCUCAACAGUUCUGCACAAUUUGAAGGCAUUGCAAGUGAUCUUUGAAGGGCGGCGGACCAAGAUAUUAGUGUGGGCGGACCUGAUAAGUGGGCGUGGCUAAGCAGGAGGGCUUCACAAAGAUUGCCUACCUAAUCUAAUCAAUUGCUACUCAACAGUUCAUCUAUUACUCAACUAUUUCUCAACAGUUCUGCACAAUUUGAAGGCAAUGCAAGUGAUCUUUGAAGGCAAAAAUUGACUUGCCAAAAAUUUUAAUAUAUGUCUGCCAAAUUGUGUGUGUGUGCUUGACUAGGCGGCGGACCAAGAUAUUAGUGUGGGCGGACCUGAUAAGUGGGCGUGGCUAGGCAGGAGGGCUUCACAAAGAUUGCCUAGCUAAUCUAAUCAAUUGCUACUUAACAGUUCAACUUUUACUCAACUAUUUCUCAA